UUCAAGAGUACGUGAAACUGCUUAGAGGUUAAGCCCGAUGAACCUGAAUAUCCGUUAUGGAAAAUUCAUCACUAAAUUUAAAAUAUUAAUAAUAUUAAAAAAAAAGUGUGCAAUUUUUCCAUAUAAGGACAUUGUAAUCUGUUAAUGUAAUAAAUAAUUAUCAAAAGAUCCAUUACUUAAGUUUAUUUGAAUUAGUUAUUUUCGGAUUUCUAACAUAGAAUAAUUGUUUUGGAUUUGAUAAAUCAUUGACAGAUAUAAUUAUAUAAUGUGCUUAAAUUCUUUGAAAUUUUAUAAAGAUAUUUAAAUCUAUUGAUUUAUUUGUUUUAUUAUAUGCGCUAUUAUGAUUAACAAUGCGAUAGAUUCAGGAUACCUUCGGGACCCGUCUUGAAACACGGACCAAGGAGUCUAACAUAUGUGCAAGUCAUUGGGUAUUUUUAAUAAAACCCAAUGGCAUAAUUAACUUAACUGAUUUAAUAAUGGGAUUAAUUUAUAAUUUGUCAUGAAUUAUUUAUUCAAUCCCGGGGCGUUCUAUAUAGUUAUGCAUGAUGAUAUUUAUAUUAUUUAUGCCUCUAACUAGAGCGUACCUUGAGCAAAUAUGCUGUGACCCGAAAGAUGG
rnacentral:rRNA from 1 species